AAAAUUUUAAAUGUUGUAUUAUGCCCUGGUCGAAAAGUUCGAUUUAUGGAAGGAAAUUUUUAUGAAAUUUGAUUUCUAAACGAUAUUGCCAAUUAAAAAGUUCGAGUUAUGGAGAUCUUCGAGUUAUAGUAGUUAGAGUUAUGGAAGUUCCACUGUAUUUAAGAAAUAACAAUUAAGUCGAAUGUGCACUCUAGAAAAUAUGCGUUAAAAUCGACGUCAGACUGUCGGGAUCCUGCGGGUCCCCACCUGGAGUUUGACUCCUCUUAAACUCUUAGGGAUUAUAGGGUCAUUAAGUGCGCGGACCAGGCCUCUCUGGAUUUCCUAAAGGGUAGCGUUGCUAAAAUCAGAGACACCUUUGUAGGCCUCCAACUCAAACUAUAAAAAGCAGUCAGAAGAGCCAAAAAUGACUCAUGGUGUUCGUUCCACACAUCAAUAGAAAGUUGCAGAGAAUCCGCUGGCUGAAUAAAAUGCUAGCAGCAGCAAAAUGUUAAUGCAGCAAACGGCAAUAACGGAGGUUCAACCAGAAUCACCUGCAAACGCAGCUGACUACCAAGACCUGAUAGUAGACAAAAGGAGAAUUCAAUACGCCACAAAUAGUUUCUCACCAUUCAAAGCGGCAGGUCCAAACGGAAUUAUGCCCAUAAUGCUGCAAAAGGCUUGAAAAUAUAUACAAAGCAAGCAUCAUACCAAGUCUUACAUCUUAAGUUGGAAAAGAAAUAAAGUGGUAUUCCUACCUAACCAGGCAAAAGAACACACGAAAAUGCUAAGGAUUUUAGACCUAUAAGACUCACAUUAUUCAUACCGAAGAUACUAGAAAGGUACAGGAAUGACAAAAAAACGGAACACUUACAUGUAGUGACUUUAAAUCGAUGUAGUAUCAACAAAUCAAACUCUCAUAUAAAAGAAAGUAUUUAUUAUACUAAGUACAUUAUUCAGAUUCAAGAAAACACUUUUAUUUAUUUUCCUGAGUGUACACGUCAUUGCAAAUAAAAUGAAAAGUGCAAAAAGGCCAAAAUUGAGUGAAAUUCAAAGAGAGUCAAAUAUGUUUGCUUCAACAGUCAAUGAGAUUAAGGAAAGGGCACUACGCAGGUUAAACCUAUGGGCUACGAACAAUGGACUAGGUAUUAACCCUAUUAAAACAGGACUGAUGCUGUUCACAAGCAGAACCAAAAUUCCCCAGUUUUAUCUUCCAGUACUAAAUGGUACAACACUGUCUCUGACUCCCACAGCUAAAUACUUGGGGUGGAGUUUGACAUCAAACUAAACUGGAAAACGAAUAUUGAAAAUAAGAACAAAAAACCUAUAUGGUCUACUACAUUUGCAAGAAUAUCGCCAGCAGGAAUUGGGGCCUUAAACCUUGUAUAAUCAUGGAUGUAUACGGCUUUCAUUAGACCAAUACUUACAUAUGGAGCAUUGGUAUGGUGGCCAGCGCAAAAGAAGCAAUACAACAUCAGAAAAUUAAAUGGAAUACAAAGAGCAGCAUGUGCAGUAGUUACUGGUGCACUCAAGUCAUGUCCGACUGUUUCUGCAUCAGAUGUCUUGAUAUUCACAAAAUAGCAGCAUGUUCUGCAAUAAGAAUAAAGGAAUUGUUCUCCCAAAGUUGGAUUCCAGUAGUAACUACCAG